rnacentral:rRNA from 1 species
GGACCUUGCACUAUCGGAUGAACCCAUAUGGGAUUAGCUAGUAGGUGGGGUAAAGGCUCACCUAGGCGACGAUCUCUAGCUGGUCUGAGAGGAUGAUCAGCCACACUGGGACUGAGACACGGCCCAGACUCCUACGGGAGGCAGCAGUGGGGAAUAUUGCACAAUGGGCGCAAGCCUGAUGCAGCCAUGCCGCGUGUAUGAAGAAGGCCUUAGGGUUGUAAAGUACUUUCAGCGGGGAGGAA